rnacentral:SRP_RNA from 1 species
GUGAUAGGUGGGGAGUUAGCGGUGCCCUGUAUCUGCAAUCCGCUACAGCAGAGCCGAACGCUUUUCUCGGUGUUGUCUAUGGGAGGCUGCAUCGGGUAAGGAAUGUUGAUCGCAAGGUCUUAUGCAACGUGCGUCCGCGAACCGUGUCAGGGUAGGGAUACAGCAGCACUAAACGGUGCCGCACGUGUGCCAUAAGGUAGCUUUGCGGGAGUCACCUGCCCGGUUCCCG